AACAAACAAACAAAAACGGUGUUUGCUUGAAUGUAUGUUUGCGACCACCUGCAUGCCUGGUGCCGACAGAGCUCACAGACGGUGUCUAAUCCCCUGGAACCGGAGUUACAGGUGGUUGUGAGCUGCCAUGAGGGUCUGGGAACUACUUCAGUCUUCUUCAAGGGCAGCAGACUCUUGAACCAUCUUAAGCUCUGAACCAUCUCCCCGGCCCUCUAGUGACAUUUCAAUCCUUUUUUUAAUUUCUCAUUUUUGACCCAAAUCUUCCUGGGUUAAAGAGCUGAAGGUCCAGUGGUCGUGUUCCACAGGAAGAGGCCAGGAGCAGAGGGGCAGGUGGCAACAGGAGGGCAGGCGGCUGAAUCACACACGAGUGCACGGUGUCCAUUGGUGGGGCCAUGUCUUUUCGUUCCGCCCCCAGUUUGGAAUGUUGGGACACAUAAAAACAGAACAGACAAGGAGCCAUCUAGAGUCCUGGCGUGAGAGUGCUCCUUACUCCUGCAGACGGUCCUCCUGUGCUGUGCUGGAGCCUGGGAGCCUGGGAGCCUGGGGUGAGGAUGAUGAGUCUGGUCCGCGGUGGACAAUGAGGAGACACUGUCAUCAGUUAGGACCUGGUAAAAUGAGGUCCAGCUAGAACUAAGAGCCCCUCUGUAGGGCUUUUCUUUCUUUGCAAUUCUAACUCCAGUCGAAUUUUAUCUUCGAGAAUUUAAGCCAGCAGGUUUAGGAUAAACCACAUGUCACGAAAACACAUCUUCUGUCGAUUCGAUCAUCGUCCUCUUCAUCUUCCUUGAUCUUGACGGGCAUUUCAUAAAACCAUCAGCUUGAUCGUUAAAAGAUUUGGAAAGCCUCACAGGGUCUAAUAGUGUUAACACUUCAGAGUCUUAGAGUCGCUGAGGCAGACGGCGCGGCCUGUGGGAUAGGGUCACAAAGCUGGUAGUCCUGGGGCAGCCAUGGCACUUCCGGUUCCUGUUCCUAGCCGGGGCACUUCCGCCCGUGCGGCUCGUUGGCAUGGAGGCCAGCUGGUCUUCCCCGGUGAGCCCCGUGGACGCCGCAGACCCGCAGCUGCAGCGUUUCGUGGAGGUGGAGACGCAGAAACAGCGGGUGCAGCUGCUGGUCCACCACAUGACGGAGCUGUGCUGGGAGAAGUGCAUGGACAAGCCCGGGCCCAAGCUGGACGGCCGGGCCGAGGUCUGCCUGGUGAACUGCGUCGAGCGCUUCAUCGACACGAGCCAGUUCAUCUUGAAUCGACUGGAGCAGAUCCAGAAAGCCAGACCGCUCUUCUCCGAAAGCCUCUCUGACUGAUCUCGGCCUUUCCCUCCUUGGAAAAGGAAGGAUCUACAGAGAAGCAUGCACAAGGACACAGGACUUUCCUUUAACCAGAAAAAUCCCACAUCAAGAACAUGUAUACCUCAGCGUAGAGUUCAGAGAAGCAGAAAGCAGAAAUUUCCCCUGGCUGUGGGGUUGAAACAGGAAACUACCCAGGAACCCUCUGCAGACAAAACUGGGGAUUCCCAGCUCCCAGGACAGGUGGACGGUUUUCACAAGAAACAUUCUCCAUGCGGCUUCCACCUCUGCCCUGGCCUCUUGAAAAUGGAAGCUCCGAGAGGCUACCGGGUUCUCGCCGGUUUGCAGUGAGACCCUAGCAUGUGUGCCUGAGGCAUCAAGCAGGGCAGGUGCCUGGAGGCAUGAACUGAAGACACACUGCUCACUGGCUCCCUCCUCAGGACUUGCUCAGCCUGCUUUCUUACACAUCUCUGGACUGAACUUAGACACCCUGCCUAGGUGGCGUGCGCACAGUGGGCUGAGCCUUCCCACAUCCAUCAUUAGUCAGACACUGCCCCAGAGUGGCCGACGGGCUAGCCUUGUGGAGGCAUUUUCUCAUGAGUUCUCUUUUCCUCAGAUGACCCCAGCUUAUGUCACGCCAAACAAGAAAGAGA